rnacentral:rRNA from 1 species
UACGAAGGGGGCUAGCGUUGCUCGGAAUCACUGGGCGUAAAGCGCACGUAGGCGGAUCGUUAAGUCGGAGGUGAAAUCCUGGAGCUCAACUCCAGAACUGCCUUCGAUACUGGCGAUCUUGGAGUCCGGGAGAGGUGAGUGGAACUCCGAGUGUAGAGGUGAAAUUCGUAGAUAUUCGGAAGAACACCAGUGGCGAAGGCGGCUCACUGGCCCGGUACUGACGCUGAGGUACGAAAGCGUGGGGAGCAAACAGG